UGGGGAAUAUUGGGCAAUGGGCGCAAGCCUGACCCAGCAACGCCGCGUGAAGGAUGAAGGCCCUCGGGUUGUAAACUUCUUUUAACAGGGACGAAUUCUGACGGUACCUGUUGAAUAAGCCACGGCUAACUACGUGCCAGCAGCCGCGGUAAUACGUAGGUGGCAAGCGUUAUCCGGAUUUACUGGGUGUAAAGGGCGUGUAGGCGGGACUGCAAGUCAGAUGUGAAAACCAGGGGCUCAACCUCUGGCCUGCAUUUGAAACUGUAGUUCUUGAGUGCUGGAGAGGCAAUCGGAAUUCCGUGUGUAGCGGUGAAAUGCGUAGAUAUACGGAGGAACACCAGUGGCGAAGGCGGAUUGCUGGACAGUAACUGACGCUGAGGCGCGAAAGCGUGGGGAGCAAACA
rnacentral:rRNA from 1 species